UGUUUUCUUUUAAAUUUCCUUAUCCUGCUUUAUUUUGUAGGUUCUCAGUUCUCCUUUGUGUUGUCUUGUUUUACUUACUGUCUUUAGGUUUUCCUGCCUUUGAGAUUAACUGCCCCGCCCUGAUGUCUUUCACCUGUUUCCCAGCCCUUCAGACACCUGUCCCUUGUUAACCCUAGUUUCCUUGUGUAUUGUGUAUUCUGUGUGUGUCUCUUGUCUUGUGU